rnacentral:lncRNA from 1 species
CAAACAAUCACCAAGCCCAGUUCUAAUCAUGCAGUUCUCGGGCCACCUCACUGCCUAAUGGGAAGAAAUGCUGAUCUGAGCUCUGAUUAUGAUGUGAAUCUUCACCUCGCCAUCAGAGGUGUGCUUGCAGCACCAUGGCUGUAUUAAUGAGAGUGGGAAACUGUUCUCCGGUCAUGCAGUGUGCUGCAGGGAAGACACUUCCCUAGGCAAAGGAGAGUCUGCAGCAGACCCAGGAAUUUAACCUGUUCCCUUGAGCCAGUCUUGUUAGGAGUAGUUCAUCCUUUUUCAUCCUGUUGAGGGACAAUGCAAAGACAGCAGCUGGGAUUCAUCACACCUCACUUAGACAACUUAAGCGCCUGAAGUUGGGGAUAUAGUAGUUAUAGGCAUCUUUUACAGUCAAUGGCAAACUCUGUCUGUCUGACACCACCAGAGAUGCCUCACUUCUUUUUGUUGACUAAAAGGAAGCUUAUCUUUUGUCAGGUGACUGAAGCUGGAGUGGGUGAAAAUGCAUCUACUAUGGCUGUAAAAGGUCGUACUAUUAGUAUAUCCUUUCUAAAUUUCAAGGAACGUUUCAAGUUAGUGGCUCUGCUCUGUACUGCCUAUAUCCGAACACAUUCAUCAAGCAAGGGGGCCAGAUGAGGGGUCCAGAUUAGAAAGUGUGUGAAAAUGACUGCUCUCAUGAAUUACAGAAAGUGAACCUCUGGACUUCUGUGAUAGGUUUUUAAAACAGGGGUGACACAGUCUUAUAAAGUUUCCUGUAGUCACAAAAAAGUGCUUUCCUUUCUUGAAUGCAGACAGAUUUUGAAGCAGAAGCUGCAGUAUUACCAAGUGAUUUACAUAUAAAUUAAUGCAUAUUAGACAAUAUGAAUCAUUCACUCCUUCAGGGGAGUGAUCACCAUCCAGUUGGUCUGAUCACCUAAGCCAAGUGAAUAUAUAAUGUUAAUUGUUGUACGCGCUCCCUACAUAUCCAUCAUAAUCAGCAGUUUCAAGCCAUUAUGUAGACGCUCCUGUUAAUGGGGCUUGUGUUUUAACUCUACUGGAAAUCGGCCUCAGUAAGAAAGCCCAGUGCUGCACCUCGUUUCCAGUUAUUUUGUGAGACUGAGUAAUGCUGGAGCCGGUGGUGAUGCCUCAGACAGGGCAGACACGGUCUGACACGCAGGAGCGCCAGGGAACUCUGGACUUGCGGACCUUCCUUAUGGACACCGGGUCAAGGUAGUGACACUGGGUACACUUCUCACACCAUGCAAGGAAUUGUCACCACUUCCAGCCUCUUCUUUAGCAACGACUACCUCUAAUUUCUACUAAAGAAACUGCUUAAUUAGUGCCUCGGCACCAGGAGUUUAAUUCCGCUGCUGCGUCUCUUUCUCUGAAGUGGACGUGCUUAGGUUAAAGAGUGAAGGUGUUUAGAGAAAACAGAAAUUGCCUGGUACUGGGGCUGUGAGCCUGACAAUUCCCAUAUUCCCC